rnacentral:lncRNA from 1 species
CCCUGUUUCUUUCCAGCAGGAGACUUGCAGAGCUUGGAGAGCUGGGCCAGGAUGGAGAGGAGUGAUAAGCCUUGCUCCUGGAGGAACUGUUGAGCUCGCUGCCUGGAAGACAGGGCACGCGUCCAGGCCCGCCACACGCAGGUUGGCCUCCGCAGCUGGUACAGAGAGAAGUCUGGAAUUUCUGUUUGCUGUCAUCUGUGUUUACUGAGUAGACCUUGUGUUGAUUCUGGGACCCAGUGUGUCCGAGGGUUGUGGACUGAACGAAUACCAGGCGCCAGCCAUACAGUGCUGCUCCCGUACCUCUGACCCCACGACAAAGGAAGAGAGGCCCUGAGCUUGGCAGCUUCUUGGAACGUCUCAGAAGAUCUGGAGUCUAGAAGGAGAGAACAGGUUUGCAAGGAAGAGAUUCUGUUACGAGAAUAGAUCUUCAGACUUUUUUCUACACACAGGAAAGGUAACUGUGUGAGGUGAGGAGUGUAUUACAAUUACCUUAAUUGUGAUCAUCAUUUCACAAUGUGUAUGUAUAUCAAAUUGUAUUGCGCACUUUAAUUCUAUACAAUUUUAACAAUUAAAAAGAAAGCUGGGAAAAAAUACAAAUAAAAUGUCAAGCAGAUCCCUUGAUGGGUGGUUC